AAAAAAAAGGCAUGAAAACAAUCUUGGAAUUGACACUUCCGUACAAUCUUCAACUAUAAUCCUUAUGAGAGAUACAACUCAUCUUCAAGCCCAUUACACAAGCAUAUAUUUGGGCUUCUCUCUUGAAUGAGGUAACCUUGGAUUAUGAUUUUGGUAACUGAAAAAUGAUAUUUUUACAUGAUUUUUUUGAUAUUUUCAUAUGAAAAUCGUUUAUAUAGAUCUUAUAGCAACGAUUUUUAUAACACUUUUCGUAUGAAAAUAUCAAAAAAUCAUGUGAAAAUUAGACAAGAAAUCGUAGGAAAAAAAACCAAAUUAAAUUGUAAGGAUACACAAAAUAGAAAUUACUAAGAUAAUCGAAAAAUCCUGAAUAAUAAAGUGGAGGUUCUAAGAACCCAAUUAAACCUAAAUACGACAAAAAACUCAAAUAGACAUCUCUCUAUUAUCUCUAAACAUCUCGAAUACCUUAAACUAGAAAAAGGCAGCAGAAUGGGACGAAAGGAAGCGAAGGAUGAGGCGUCAGACUUAGGAUUGUAGUGCAUCGGUGGCAGGAGAACGGAUGGAGGAGAUUGAGCUGACGGCGGCUGAAUUACCGGAUAAUCUUUUUUCUUGGGUGGAGAAUCAGAGGAGAGAGAUGAUUGUUGGUUAUGUGAGUGGGAGGAAGAAGGUUUAGGGGUUUGGGGAGGAGUAACGAAGCCUGUCCAAGUCCGAUCAUCGGCGGCGGAUGAGGAGUUGUUGGAUCUCUAUUUACUAGCGAUGAAGUGAGGAUUGAGUUUGGGAAAGCUAAAUCAGCGUGAAUAUUAAAAAAAAAUUAAAAAAGAAGCAAAACGGCGAAAGAAAUUGCACAUUGGGAAGGAGAGAGUAAAGAAGAUGUAUGUAUAAAUUUACUCGCAUAAUUUUGCCCUCCUUCCUCAAAGCUUGGAUUGGUCCAGGGCCGAUCCAUUUGUUAAGCUAUUGAAACAAUGGUUUGAGGCCCCUAUAAUUGAGAAGAUCUCAAAAUUUUAAUAAUUCAUAUAUGUUAG
rnacentral:lncRNA from 1 species